rnacentral:rRNA from 1 species
UACGGGGGUGGCAAGCGUUGUUCGGAAUUACUGGGCGUAAAGGGCGCGUAGGCGGGGAGAUAAGUCGGGUGUGAAAUCCCUCGGCUCAACCGAGGAACUGCGCCCGAGACUGUCUUUCUUGAGUCCCGGAGAGGAAGGUGGAAUUCCCGGUGUAGCGGUGAAAUGUGUAGAGAUCGGGAGGAACACCGGUGGCGAAGGCGGCCUUCUGGACGGUGACUGACGCUGAGACGCGAAAGCGUGGGGAGCAAACAGG